GCUGUCUAUUAUUAAGACAGUAUCUCACUGGCCUUGAAAUUACGAUGAAAUGGCUUGGAACCUUGAUCCUUCUACCUCUGUCUCCUGAAUGCUGGGAUUACAGGUAAGUGCCUGUAACCAUACCAAACUAGAACAUUGAUAUCUUGAAUGUUCACUAAAGACUUCUUAUCAGCUUAUAGUCUUAAUGAGGGAUAUAUAUAUAUAUUAUAUAUCCCUUAAGGAAGAUAUUGGGGGCCUGCCUCUUUCUAUUGCUUCUCCCUGCCGUGAGGUGAGCAGGCCUCUUCCUUAGCCACAAGUGCCCACCAUGAUGUAAUAAACCAUAGCCAAAGGAACGGAUGAAACAUGGACUUGGAAAACUGUGAGCUAAAGAAAUUCUCUGGUUAUUUAGGGCAUUUAUUAUAGUAACAGAAAGCUAACAUCUUUAUUUUUAAGAUUUUUUUUAGCAGAUAUGGAAUUUGUUUUCUUUAAUCAGAUAUUCUUUGCUUUGUAUGAUUUCUGAUGAAAAGUCGGCUGUUCUUUUAUGUGUGCUUGUGAAUGUAGAAUGUUUCUAACUGCUGCUGUAACACUCUGAAUGUACCCAAUUGUUGUGGAGCCUUAGGGUUUUAAUUGUAAGUAAGGAAAAAUAUUUGGCUGUCUCUUCAAGUUUCAUCCCUGUACUUUUCCUCUCCAGCUAUGCCCAGGCUAGACCAUGUCGUUAUUUCCCCACAGGCCACAUCAGUGAUUCUCAACCUCCUUUUCUUGUACUUGUUUGGUUCCUUCUGAUAAGUUAAAAUUCAUACAUCUUUCUAACCGUAUUGUCUAAUCUGUGUACUCCCAACCAGGGUAUAUUCUAGAAAUUCCACUUGCUGAGUUUAAGUAUUUUUCUCAGUAUGUUCACUUUCUUUUACAUCCUUGAAAAUAUAAUAGCUAUUUUUAAAGUCCUUA
ensembl:lincRNA Gm44053 predicted gene, 44053